UUCAGCCGCCCUCAUCCUCCCUCAUCGCGGGGAGCCUCAGGGAGAGGCCAGGCGCAGGGUUCUGGCUGGAUGUGGCCGUCGUGGUGGUGCCAGGCGGCCGCUUGGGCCACCCAGCGCCCUCAGGAGCAGCCCAGCCCGGCGGUGGUGAGGGUGUCCACAUCACAGCAGUGAGGAGUCACAGAGGCCACCGAGGCUGUUUGAUGUUAUCAGAGCUGGGACAGGAAGGGUUUGAAACAGCAAAAUCCUGGAAUCAUCCUUGCCCAUGGAAAGGCCUCGUUCCUCCAAGGACACAGUGACACAAAGAAUUGCUUGGCAAAGCUGAUGGUGCACAGGGGACCAGACUCCCGGAUGAAAACCAAGCCUUGCUGCAAUCUGAAAGCACAGAUUGCAUCCUGGAUGAAUGUGGGCAGGAGUUGGAUGAAUAAAGAGGUAUUAAUUCUU